rnacentral:rRNA from 1 species
UAGGGAAUCUUCCACAAUGGGCGCAAGCCUGAUGGAGCAACACCGCGUGAGUGAAGAAGGGUUUCGGCUCGUAAAGCUCUGUUGUUAAAGAAGAACACGUAUGAGAGUAACUGUUCAUACGUUGACGGUAUUUGACCAGAAAGUCACGGCUAACUACGUGCCAG